rnacentral:lncRNA from 1 species
CCUGAGUUGAAGAAGAUUUAUAUCUCAAAGGGCAGAGGAUGAAUUUACAGCUCCAAGCUUCUAAAGUAAAUGCUCUAAGAAAAGGGAAGUCAUGGGACUUGAAGAAGUCAGGAAGUCAGGAAGAAGCCCAUCUGAAGUGACUACUUUGUAGGUUUUCUGUUCCAGUUUUAUAUACAAACUGGUGCCACUGUUCCCUCCACCUCCCAGGUCAGCAACUCAAAGAGAAUUUAUUUCCUCAGAAGUUACCACGAUGCCAUUUCCUAUCAUAUGCAGAAACUCUCCCUGGGGUGUCUUGAAUGUGUGCAAUGAGCAUGAACACUGGAUUUGGAUCAGUGAGCUGAGAGAUGUGGACCAUCACACUUGGCCGGAUGAGUCCCUGUGGGUUGUGGACCUGGGAGGAGCUGUGAACGCUGUUCAUUCUAGAAGAGAGCGAGAGCGAGAUCGAGCGAGAGCACAAGCAGGGGGAUUAGAAGACUGAGAAGGCGAGCAGGGAUCCUGAUGAGGGGCUCAAUCCCAGGACCCUAGGAUCGUGACCCAAGCUGAAAGCAGACGCUUAAUGACUGAGCCACCCGGAUGCCCCAGUCACUGAG